CUCAAAUGCAAAGUGCCUUCAUGUGCUGCUGCUUCAGAGUGUGAGCUCUCAGAGAAGGCAAUGCACUGAAAUCUAUUAUGAACUGACAGUAUGAAAACAUCCAGGUAGUCUUGGAAAAAUGGUUAAUCAAACUGAAGAAACUAAAAUCAACAAAAACCAGUCUCGACAGAAUGCAGCACCAGGUAUCCAGAAGAAUGAGUCAGUAAUAAAGAAACCUACAGCUUGUAACCAAAAUGCCUUGAGCUGUUUGCAUUAAGUUAUCUUGAAUAAACUAUGUGUUGAGUAUUUCCUGAGGAGCAUGACCAAAAACUCACUGCGACGUGGAUCUCCAAGUAGGUUAUGGCUAAAAGCCUGACUAAUGUUUUAUGUGUCCUUUUGGUUCAUAUCCAAAAGGAUGUUUGUUUGUUUUUACUCAUUUCUUACUCAUGAAAA
rnacentral:lncRNA from 12 species